UACGUAGGGCGCAAGCGUUAUCCGGAAUUAUUGGGCGUAAAGAGCUCGUAGGCGGUUUGUCGCGUCUGCCGUGAAAGUCCGGGGCUUAACCCCGGGCCUGCAGUGGGUACGGGCAGACUAGAGUGCGGUAGGGGAGACUGGAAUUCCUGGUGUAGCGGUGAAAUGCGCAGAUAUCAGGAGGAACACCCGUGGCGAAGGCGGCUCUCUGGGACGGUACUGACGCUGAGACGCGAAAGCGUGGGGAGCGAACAGG
rnacentral:rRNA from 1 species